rnacentral:misc_RNA from 1 species
GGACGAGCUGUCCUUUCAAUAUUCACCAAUGUCAGAAGAUUCAGAUGAUUCACGGUGUUAUGAGGCUUUGACGAACACCAGCUCACCCCAACGUGAGAGUGCACCAACUAGUCCAGUCUCACCCUACCGAUAUCACAGACCAAUGAAUGGGUUCUCAUCAUGCCCUCCCUCCACGUCAUAUCCGUCACAUUCCUGCAACUUCCCUCCUGCCACAUCCUCCCAGCCUCGUCAACGAGGCUCUGAUUCUGAGGGUCGAUUUCCAUCAUCACCCAGUGACAUAUGCCACUCUGCUGACUUAAGGAGAGCUGCACUUUUGCGGUCUGUGCAAAUGAGGACUCAACCUCCU